UGGGAGUGGGGCUCAGGAAACUACAUUUUUAACAUGCCUCCCCCACGCACACCCCGAGUCUUAUGUACAGUGAAGUUUGAGAACCAAUGGGAUAAAAGCUCCCCAGAAGAGAGGCAGACAGGUAGAUAGUAGGUGCCCAAUACAAUACACUACUUAUUAAACGAUGAAAAGCAGCAUAUUUCAUGGAGGAAGACAUCUUUGAAUAUGGAGUUCACCAUGGCUUGGUUAGCUAAGAGUGUGACUGGAGCUGUAACCGGAAUCCAGCUGUCCCAGGCACUAGAAGAAA